AGCAGCCGCGGUAAUUCCAGCUCCAAUAGCGUAUAUUAAAGUUGUUGCAGUUAAAAAGCUCGUAGUUGAAUUUCGGGAUCAAGGCGUCGGUCGUGCUUCGGUACGUACUGGCGUCAUUGAUUUCUCCCUUCUGACGAACCAUGAUGCCAUUAACUUGGUGUUAUGGGAAAUCAGGACUGUUACUUUGAAAAAAUUAGAGUGUUUAAAGCAGGCUCACGCUUGAAUACAUUAGCAUGGAAUAAUGAAAUAGGACGUUUGAUUCUAUUUUGUUGGUUUCUAGGAUCGACGUAAUGAUUAAUAGGGAUAGUUGGGGGCAUUAGUAUUCAAUUGUCAGAGGUGAAAUUCUUGGAUUUAUUGAAGACUAGCUACUGCGAAAGCAUUUGCCAAGGAUGUUUUCAUUAAUCAAGAACGAAAGUUAGGGGAUCGAAGACGAUCAGAUAGCCGUCGUAGUCUUAACCAUAAACUAUGCCGACUAGGGAUCGGAUGAUGU
rnacentral:rRNA from 1 species